rnacentral:rRNA from 1 species
UACGAAGGGGGCUAGCGUUGUUCGGAAUUAUUGGGCGUAAAGAGCUCGUAGGCGGUGUGUCGCGUCGGCCGUGAAAACCUGCAGCUUAACUGUGAGCGUGCGGGCGAUACGGGCAGACUGGAGUACUGCAGGGGAGACUGGAAUUCCUGGUGUAGCGGUGGAAUGCGCAGAUAUCAGGAGGAACACCGGUGGCGAAGGCGGGUCUCUGGGCAGUAACUGACGCUGAGGAGCGAAAGCGUGGGGAGCAAACAGG